CCGCACAGGCCGCAGGGCCAGACACACCAGAGCUCCCAUACCUUUCAAGCUAGAAAGAAAAGAGAAAGAAGUUCCUGGGCUUGGGUUUUUAAAAGGCUGGGGAUGUUUUUAAAAUCCUCCCACCAACCUGCCAAAUCACAGGAUGGAGUUCUCAGUGUCUCCUUUCCAUUGAAUGUUUUGCCACAUGCAAACUUUCAUCUUUUCAGUAUACUUUUGGAUUCUGCUAGGCUUACUUUCAAAGGUUAAAAGAAUGGAGUGUACUGGAGUCAGGAAAGCUCAGUGUUGGUUCACCAGCAUUGCAUUUCUGCACCAGUCAUAGCUGAUAAGUUCAAAACCACAUCAGCAAUCUGAACAGCAAAACUGGCACCAGCCUGUUUCAGCUGCUUGCUGUUAAUGCUUGAAGGGAAGCAAGAUGCACUGAAUUGCAGGAUGGGCAGUGGCUACAGGUCUCUACAUCCUUCUUUGGUGAACAUGAAAGCUUUUCAAGGUCAGCAGUGCCAUACAGGAUUUCCGUAUUACAAGGAUCCAGCUGUCAUAUAUUUCCCUGUGCAUGAAACUGAACAUAAAAAGGAAUCUUGCUUUCCCUAAACAUGAGAUGGGAUUUGACAUCAGUGCUGUUUUUCCCUGCUGGUAUUGUGAUUAAACUCCCAGAUCUGAGGAGGUGUUUGAAUAUGCCAAACAAAUCCUUCACCUUUUCUAGUCUUCUCCAACCAAAGGCCACUUUCAUGCCCACUUCCCUGCAACAGCUUUCCUAUGCUGGGGAAGGAAGGAGCCUGGAGAGAAGCCAUGGGAACCUGUGGUAAUGUGCAUUUUCUGUGACUGCUCACUGUGUUAAUAAAUUACCAGUCUAUGUUGGUUUUUUUUUAAAAUUUCUUCCAAAUGUUAGAUGCUGUCAAGGAGGUAAGAGGGACUGUGAAUUCCUGUUUUCUCCUGUAUUUAUUCUGGCAGGAUGGGCUGUGCAAAAGUGAGCACUCUGUCCGUAGUGUGCAUACUGACAGUAUCAUUGUAGAUGGAGACUGUGCUGUCUGAAGAGUGUUUAUAACUGUGCUCAAAUUAAACCAGAUAAAUUAUCCUGAGAGGUUAUUGUGUAAUUAUAUAUUCCACGCAGUUUUUGAAAAACAUUUUACACUUGGCAUAAGUAUUUGUUUAAAGUAGAGUAGGAACUGAGAGCAAACAAGUAAGGACUUCAGGGUCUUGGAGUAACUUGCAUGCCUGUCAUCUAAGUGACUGCCAUGUCACACAUCUGCUUUGUGAUAUGUCAUUGCCUUUCUGUACCAUGCCACAUCCUAACCACUGUGCUGAGUGACAGCAUGUCACUCACCUCACUGUCAUGCACAGUCUGUAGUACUGAAACCUUCUCGGGCAAUGGAUAAACAAUUGAAAUUUGCUCCGUAUUUGCACAAUGAGUGGUGAAAGAGUAGGGAGAAAACUGUAUUAAAGGAAAAAUGAGAAUAGAUUCCCACUUAUUGGUUGCUUUCCAUUACCAGUUAAUUCUACACCAGUAAGCACACAUUUUGCAUCUGUUUGGUACAAUAUUCUACCCAUUGUCCUUUGGAAAGAAGCUGCCUAUAUUGGAGGCACUCAGGAGCUGGGCAUUCUAUAAAUGUAAGUGAGGGUUCUGACAGAUUAGCUCUGACAGAUUUAGAUGCAGUGAUAGAAUGCUCACACUUUACACCUUGCUUCUCAGCAGGAAGUAACCACCUGAAGAGCAAAGGCACCGGAAUGAAUGUGUGAUGUAGCUCACAGGCCAGUGCAGUCCAGCUGAAACUGCUUAUGAAGGUAGCGCUCCCAAACUGGAAACAAGUGUCCCAUUUCGUACUGCUGGGAUGGAGAUGGGCAGAGGGAACACUGUAGAUCACAACAGGUGAGGGAAAUUUAGCUCUUCUGCUGAAUGGCCAGGGGAUCAGAUGGAGGAUGUGGGAAAGGCCAAGACACAGCACUUUUUGGCCUCAGUCUUCCCUGAUAAGGCCAGCCUUCAGGAAACUGAGUCAGCUGCUGCUUAACCCCUUACUGAAGUGGACAAUGGGUGAGAGUGCACCCUGUGAAGCUUUGCAGUUGAUACAAGACUGGGAGGAGUCUUGGAUACACCAGGUACUGUCGUUCAGAGGAACCCAGAGAGGAGCUCACAGAAGUCCCAUGAAAUUCAACAAAGCAGAGCAAAGUGCUGCACCUGGGUAGCAGUAAUCCUGUGUGGUUAUAGCUGCUGUGGGGCAGCCAGCUGAAAAGAAGCUCUGCAAUAGAACACCUUGGUAUCCUGGUAGACAAGAAGAUAGCAACCAGGUCCAGGCACAUGAACUUUCCCCUCAAAUCAGCAGUGGUGAAACACAUCUGGUUGCCGUGUCCCGUUCUGGGCUCCACAGGUCAAGAGAUAUGACAAGAGGAAAUGGGCACAACUGAAAUAUGGGGCAUUCCAGUUUAAUGUAGGGGAAAACAUUUUACAGCAGGAAUUACAAAACACAGGAACACAUUUUCAACAGAGCUUGUGAGGUCUUUUUCCUUAAAGAUAGAUAUUCAAAAUCUGUUGUGAUCUGGCUCUGAGCAACUUGCCGUGGCUAGCCCAGCUAUGACCAAAGGGUCGGACUAGACAAUCUCCUCCAGAGGUGCCUGCUGCCACCAGUCUGAAAGUCUGUGAUUCUAAAGCUCACACAUCAGACUCCCCAGUCUCUAGACCUGAAGACAAUUGUGUUUUAAAACGUGCUUUCUGUAUUGCUUUACUUUUGUUUGAUUGUCAAGAGAAUACAAUGUGCAAAAUACACUACUGGGCUAGUGCUUGCUAAAGACUUGUACAACCUUGGGGUAAUAGCGAUAACAAAAGUAGGCAGUGGUGUGAAUCUGAGCCGGCAGUUUUACAAGGUGUCUACUGGAAAGAAAUUCUUUAUAGGUAUUUCUUGAACAUUCUCUUGGAAUUCUAUGAGGUAAGUUUCUUUCUUCUUAUGCCUUUAAACACAUGUACAAACUGCUUUGAAACCAACCAUACUGGAAUUAAGUUUCUUCAAGCCAUUACAGACUUGAUUUUUCUUUUUUUCUUUUGGCACUUCUUCUCUUAGAGACCUCUUUAAGAGAUUUAACUUUGAAGCCUUUGUCCCUUUGAAUGUUAUUGUCUUCAGCAGCAAUUUGUUACUCCCAGCAUUCCCUUUCUACAGCAAAUAUGAAUGCAAGUCUCUACAUUAUUCAUUCUUUCUAAAGUGAGAAGGGAGAGUUGUAAACUGCUGAAUUACAACCUGCAGUUGCCAAGAGGCAGGAACAACUUAAGAGCAAUUUAAUUGUAGAUGUUUUCCUCCUUUCCCCUUUAACUCUUUCCUCAGGGAAGGAUAAACACUACAGGCAGUUGAAUAGUAAAGGAGCUAUUCUGGAGACAGAGACAAGCAGGGAUAGAGAAGGUCAGAAUGAACUUUGCAUCUAGGAGAACAAAAAACAGAGUAUCAGACCAUCUGUAGAAGUUGAGUACAUUGAGCUACUCUGUUCAUGUUUGCUAAUAUGCUGGACUUUACUCACAAAA